rnacentral:tRNA from 1 species
UUCUUAGAAGCUUGCAACAGCAAUGAAUUUUUACUUCAUAAAUAGGAUUUUUACCCCUAAGAAA